rnacentral:rRNA from 1 species
ACUCCUACGGGAGGCAGCAGUGGGGAAUAUUGGACAAUGGGCGCAAGCCUGAUCCAGCCAUGCCGCGUGAGUGAUGAAGGCCCUAGGGUUGUAAAGCUCUUUCACCGGUGAAGAUAAUGACGGUAACCGGAGAAGAAGCCCCGGCUAACUUCGUGCCAGCAGCCGCGGUAAUACGAAGGGGGCUAGCGUUGUUCGGAUUUACUGGGCGUAAAGCGCACGUAGGCGGACUAUUAAGUCAGGGGUGAAAUCCCGGGGCUCAACCCCGGAACUGCCUUUGAUACUGGUAGUCUUGAGUUCGAGAGAGGUGAGUGGAAUUCCGAGUGUAGAGGUGAAAUUCGUAGAUAUUCGGAGGAACACCAGUGGCGAAGGCGGCUCACUGGCUCGAUACUGACGCUGAGGUGCGAAAGCGUGGGGAGCAAACAGGAUUAGAUACCCCGGUAGUCCCAU